rnacentral:misc_RNA from 1 species
UCUUUCACUUGCGCCCAUGAUCGGCGCGUCUCCUCGGUCGCCUGUGCGCGCCUAUUUCCUCGAGCGCUUCACGGCACAUCAAGCGCUCUGUCUUUUGUUUUUUUUUGCGUUUUCUACCUCUUUGGACGGCGGGCUCUGUCCGUCUCUCCACCCCUCUUAGCGGCCCUCGCCUCCCAUCGAUCGGAACCCGCCGCUUUCUUCGAUUUGUUUCGUCACGGCUCCCUCGAUCUGCCCGUUCUUUCCUGUCCUGCUCUCUUCCGCUGUCCUCGAUGCCCUGUGCGCCUGCAGAGCACCGACUGCAUACUGUGAACAACGUACUUUCUCGUGUCAUCCGCCUCCGGCACACAUCCGAGGCAAGGCACGAGGGGGGGGGACGGCUCGGCUCGCUGGCCUCUUUUUUGUUUCCCCAGUUACUCGGUCGUCUCCCUGUCCUUGAUUUUUCUUCUGAUCAUCCCGGCAACUGUACUUCAGGUAGUGGUUGUUUGCUGAACGCUCCUAGUGCGGUCGGGCGCACAUCAUCCGUCUCGAUACAAAACCGUGUCAUGUAAAGCAUGCAGUCCAUUCUUUUCCUUCCUCGGCCCCUCUCCGUUCCCCGCGGCGGUCUUGUGCGCAGUACGAGGCGAAGCGGAGACACCCCUCUUAAGCGGGCUCGGACAAGAGGCCGCAACAGUGUUUCCUUCAGUACCAUUUGUGGUGCUCCACCCCCACCCAAACCAUUCAUCGUUUCCCGUUCCGUCCCUUUACCACGCCCCCCCCACCUAACCCUGAAAGACUUCUCUAUUUCUUCUCGCUUCUCUUUCUGCUCGCCGUACUGUGCAG